UAGAGGCUUUGAAAAAUUGUGCUGAUUAUACAUCCAUUCAACAGAGUGCUAUUGAUACCUUGCUCAACAGUAAAAGCAGCACAUUUGGUGAUCCCUCCACAUGGACAACAUUCACACUGAGAAAUUUGGAUACACUUGUGUUUGCUGUGAAUAAAGAUACAUGGAGUAAAGUCAACAAGACUGUUAUUUUAGAAGGGCUGAGACCGUAUGUGAGGAGACAAUCUAGAUUCCAAAUCCAAAAUCAACGAAAUUUACUCUCAAAACUACCCAUAGUGACAAGAUCAAAACGUGCAACUGGGUGCUCAAGUGGUCAAAUAACAGCGGAUAAGAUUUUUGAUGUUAUGCUACCUGCACAAUAUGGAGCAGCAGA